AUUGAACGCUGGCGGCAGGCCUAACACAUGCAAGUCGAGCGGAUGAAGGGAGCUUGCUCCUGGAUUCAGCGGCGGACGGGUGAGUAAUGCCUAGGAAUCUGCCUGGUAGUGGGGGAUAACGUCCGGAAACGGGCGCUAAUACCGCAUACGUCCUGAGGGAGAAAGUGGGGGAUCUUCGGACCUCACGCUAUCAGAUGAGCCUAGGUCGGAUUAGCUAGUUGGUGGGGUAAAGGCCUACCAAGGCGACGAUCCGUAACUGGUCUGAGAGGAUGAUCAGUCACAUGGGAGUUGAAACGGGGCCAAGACUCCUACGGGAGGAGGCGGGGGGGAAUAUUGGAGAGUGGGCGAAAGCUGUACCCAGCCCUGCGGGGUGUGGAAAGAAGGUCUUGGAAUUGAAAAGAUUUUUAAUUUGGGAGAAAGGGAAGUAAGUUAAUACCUUGGUUUUUUGACGUUACCAAAAAAAAAGACCCCGGCUAACUUCGUC
rnacentral:rRNA from 1 species